UACGUAGGCAGCGAGCGUUGUUCGGAGUUACUGGGCGUAAAGGGUGCGUAGGCGGUCGUUUAAGUUUGGUGUGAAAUCUCCCGGCUCAACUGGGAGGGUGCGCCGAAUACUGAAUGACUAGAGUGCGGGAGAGGAUAGUGGAAUUCCUGGUGUAGCGGUGAAAUGCGUAGAUAUCAGGAGGAACACCGGUGGUGGUAGACGGCUAUCUGGACCGUAA
rnacentral:rRNA from 1 species